rnacentral:rRNA from 1 species
AUUGAACGCUGGCGGCAGGCCUAACACAUGCAAGUCGAGCGAGCGGCGGACGGGUGAGUAAUGCCUAGGAAUCUGCCUGGUAGUGGGGGAUAACGUCCGGAACCGGGCGCUAAUACCGCAUACCAUCGGAUGUGCCCAGCUGGGAUUAGCUUGUUGGUGGGGUAACGGCUCACCAAGGCGACGAUCCCUAGCUGGUCUGAGAGGAUGACCAGCCACACUGGAACUGAGACACGGUCCAGACUCCUACGGGAGGCAGCAGUGGGGAAUAUUGCACAAUGGGCGCAAGCCUGAUGCAGCCAUGCCGCGGGUAUGAAGAAGGCCUUCGGGUUGUAAAGUACUUUCAGCGGGGAGGCGUUACCAACAGAAUAAGCACCGGCUAACUUCGUGCCAGCAGCCGCGGUAAUUC